UACGGAAGGUCCGGGCGUUAUCCGGAUUUACUGGGUGUAAAGGGAGCGUAGACGGAAUUGCAAGUCUGAUGUGAAAAUCCGGGGCCCAACCCCGGAACUGCAUUGGAAACUGUAUUUCUAGAGUGUCGGAGAGGCAAGUGGAAUUCCCGGUGUAGCGGUGGAAUGCGCAGAUAUCGGGAAGAACACCGAUGGCGAAGGCAGCUCUCUGGGCCGUCACUGACGCUGAGGCGCGAAAGCUGGGGGAGCGAACAGG
rnacentral:rRNA from 1 species